rnacentral:lncRNA from 1 species
GAGCUCACAUGAUGACAUUAGCUCCACAUAGGUAACCGAGGAUAAUCCCCUCUCUGAAACUCAACCAAUUAAUAAUCUUAAUUACAGCUGCAAAAUCUCUCUGCCAUGUAAAUAACAUAACAUAGCCAUGGGUAUGAUACCAGGGGACUAAAGGUCCCAGAAGCCAAAUCUCUGUCUACUGCAGGUUCAUAGGAGUUCAUGCCACUAUUCUUUUGUUACCUUUAUCUAAGUUUAAGGUUACAUCCAAACAAAAACGUUACAUAGAUUCAUGAAUACAGUGCAUGGAAUUGGAAAGCUGUAGUUGUGGUGUUGUUGAUCCUCUUGGUAGUUCCAUUUCUUCCUAACAGUCCUGGGUCUCUUUUGUUCCCCUCUUAUCCACCAGGUCACCAGCAAAUCAAGCAAGGGACCUGUGAGGUGGUUGCAGUACACAGGUGCUGUAACAAGAACCGCAUAGAGGAGCGAUCCCAGACGGUCAAGUGUUCUUGCUUCCCAGGACAGGUUGCUGGCACGACUCGGGCUCAGCCCUCUUGUGUUGAAGCUUCCAUUGUGAUUCAGAAAUGGUGGUGUCACAUGGAUCCUUGUUUGGAAGGAGAGGACUGCCGAGUGCUGCCCGAUUACUCAGGUUGGUCCUGUAGCAGUGGCAACAAAGUCAAAACUACCAAGAGUUUCUAUUAAGUGUCCAAGUGUUUGCAGUAUUUCAUACUGGAAAAGCUAGAGGUAGGAGGUAACACGGUAGCAAAGAGAGAGGUGCCUCCACGCUGGAGGAUGGACGGGCUGCAGCACUCUCCUGUUGGGACUGCCGUCCCGGACUUUGUGGGAAGUUGUCUUAGAUUUUGCCCACGUCACAUUGGCAUCUCUGCUGUGAAUGGUGGUGUUUACUUAACUGUUCCAGCUCUCACUGCCUCGUGACUUGACUACAGUGAGUUACAACCAUGGGCUGCCACACACACAGCGGACAGCCCACCUGGAUUCCUAAGGAGCAUACCUCCAAGAGACUCUGGACCAGCAAAUUGGAAGUUGGAGAAAUGGAUCAUCACUGAAGGAAGAAGGCUGGGGCUGCAGCUUCUUUCUGCAUUUGCACAGGAGCACGGGCCUGUUUCUGAGGAUCCUCAUUCCCUACCUCCUGUGAACUUUUCCUUCAGCCCUGUGUUGGUCAUUUGAAAGCGUCCAAAUAACAAAACAUUUUAGCAGAACAUUUUUUUUUUUUUUGCAAAUGUAGAUUGAUGAACUCUGAUUAACUGGUGACGAAAACUUAUUUUAUAAACCUUGAGAAAUAGAAGGACUUACGUUGGGGUUACUGUGUGUGCAUUUGUUUCACUGCUUUUAAAUUCUCUGCAUUGUAAGGUCCUUUGGCAGGUCAGCAGAAAUAAAAUGCUCCCAUUGUAACUUCUGUGUGCCA